GUCACUGGACUACCAGGACAAGUCCACGUCCUGCCAGGACUGCAGGGAGACGCAGGAGGUCCAGGACCAUCAGAUCCAUGUCCCUGUUCACAGGAUCCAACCUCACAGACACAACUGGACCAAGUUCUGAUGGUUUUCGUUGCAAACGGGGA